CUGAAGUACAGAAUCAUUGUGAUAGCUACGAGUGUUCCAGGUUGACUGAACAGUUCAGUCUGCUACAUCCUUCUCAAACAGUUCAUGGUUAUGAUAUUUCAGUUCAGUGUGGAACAGUCUUGUAUUAGCUGAAGUACAGAAUCAUUGUGAUAGCUACGAGUGUUCCAGGUUGACUGAGCAGUUCAGUCUGCUACAUCCUUCUCAAACAGUUCAUGUAUAUGAGGUUUCAUUAUAUAAUAUAAGAUAUUAAAACCAAAUAUUGAGUUUUACCUUCAGUCAUGGUUCUGUCCCUCUUUGCCAAUUUUUUGUCAAAUGUCACCAGCUCUUUCAGGUCCUCUGCCUGCGUUGAACCAGCUCUUUCAGCUCCUCUGCCUGCGUUGAACCAGCUCUUUCAGCUCCUCUGCCUGCAUUGAACCAGCUCUUUCAGCUCCCUCUGCCUGCCUUGAACCAGCUCUUUCAGGUCCCCUGCCUGUGUUGAACCAGCUCUUUCAGGUCCUCUGCCUGCGUUGAACCAGCUCUUUCAGGUCCUCUGCCUGCGUUGAACCAGCUCUUUCAGGUCCUCUGCCUGUGUUGAACCAGCUCUUUCAGGUCCUCUGCCUGCGUUGAACCAGCUCUUUCAGGUCCUCUGCCUGCGUUGAACCAGCUCUUUCAGCUCCUCUGCCUGCGUUGAACCAGCAGUCUGAGUACUGAAGUUUUCUCACAAACAAAGAAAGGAAUAUCCUGUGCAUCUGGCAGAAUGGAGGGGAGGUUCCUGCUUCCCUGGAUUGUCUACAGUUCUGACAAACAUGGCCUGUGUCCCAAACGGUACCUUAUUCCCUUUAUAGUCUGCUACUGUAGAGCAGGGCCCUAGUGCACUAUAU
ensembl:lncRNA